AACGAACGCUGGCGGCAGGCUUAACACAUGCAAGUCGAACGCCCCGCAAGGGGAGUGGCAGACGGGUGAGUAACGCGUGGGGACGUACCUUUCAGUUCGGAAUAACUCAGGGAAACUUGUGCUAAUACCGGAUACGCCCGUAAGGGGAAAGAUUUAUCGCUGAAAGAUCGGCCCGCGUUGGAUUAGCUAGUUGGUGGGGUAAUGGCCUACCAAGGCGACGAUCCAUAGCUGGUCUGAGAGGAUGAUCAGCCACACUGGGACUGAGACACGGCCCAGACUCCUACGGGAGGCAGCAGUGGGGAAUAUUGGACAAUGGGCGAAAGCCUGAUCCAGCCAUGCUGCGUGAGUGAUGAAGGCCCUAGGGUUGUAAAGCUCUUUCACCGAUGAAGAUAAUGACGGUAGUCGGAGAAGAAGCCCCGGCUAACUUCGUGCCAGCCGCCGCGGUAA
rnacentral:rRNA from 1 species